CAACCCUCAAGCCCCCUGUGGACUUGGUGUUGGGGACCGGCGACAGCCUCCUGUCGCCGCCCCCUAAAUGAAUUGGCGGCCCCGUCGCGGCCCUCCUCUGCGUAGUAGCACACACCUCGCAACAGGAGCCCGUCGGUGGCCACUGCCGUAAAACACCCAACUUUUUCAG
rnacentral:misc_RNA from 2 species